rnacentral:rRNA from 1 species
GACGAACGCUGGCGGCGCGCCUAAUACAUGCAAGUUGAGCGAUGAAGCUUGGUGCUUGCACCAAUUUGAAGAGCAGCGAACGGGUGAGUAACGCGUGGGGAAUCUGCCUUUGAGCGGGGGACAACAUUUGGAAACGAAUGCUAAUACCGCAUAACAACUUUAAACAUAAGUUUUAAGUUUGAAAGAUGCAAUUGCAUCACUCAAAGAUGAUCCCGCGUUGUAUUAGCUAGUUGGUGAGGUAAAGGCUCACCAAGGCGAUGAUACAUAGCCGACCUGAGAGGGUGAUCGGCCACAUUGGGACUGAGACACGGCCCAAACUCCUACGGGAGGCAGCAGUAGGGAAUCUUCGGCAAUGGACGAAAGUCUGACCGAGCAACGCCGCGUGAGUGAAGAAGGUUUUCGGAUCGUAAAACUCUGUUGGUAGAGAAGAACGUUGGUGAGAGUGGAAAGCUCAUCAAGUGACGGUAACUACCCAGAAAGGGACGGCUAACUACGUG